rnacentral:tRNA from 1 species
GGUCUGGUGGUGUAGUUGGUUAUCACGUCAGUCUAACAGCUCUAGAGCUUCACCCGCUCUCGUCUGCCACACUGAAGGUCUCCGGUUCAAGUCCGGGCUAGAUCA